CUUUCUGCCAACAACAUAAACAACAUAUGAUUUACAAAGACGAACUAUGCCUUUAAGAAAAGAGCAGGUGGGAACUUUUUAGACCUAAAAAUGUGGUAUGUGUUCAGCAUACAGUUUUAAUGUCUUGCCAUCUUCAGGUAACCAACUGGUUAUGCAUAUCCUCAUAUCUCUCAGAAGAGGGAGCAUUGGUUGUCAUCAUAUAACUGCAAGAAUACUUUGCCAAAACAUAAAUAUUACUUUAUCUGUCUAAUGUAAAUUGUAUGUAAUCUAUACAAUUAAGUAGUAAGUCAUCCUAUUGCAUUCAUUACCAAUAUGAAUGCAGUCUUGACAACAGAAUUUGCCAUCCAGACUGAAUUCAUAUUGAACAUAAACAACCAUACAACUAUUCAAUAACACUUAUAAUUACCUGUCAGAAAAUGUUGAUUAUCAUCGUUAAUAUAUCAUUUUUAAAUCUUAAAUAUCUGCAAGACCACUGCAGAUAAAUCUGUUCAAUCUUGAAAGCCAUUUUCAGGUAACCAACUGGUUAUGCAUAUCCUCAUAUCUCUCAGAAGAGGGAGCAUUGGUUAUCAUCACACAAUAGCAACAAGCUCCUUCUCAUUAUGAAAUUACACACAAUUUAUACAAAGAAGAAUUGAUA